rnacentral:rRNA from 1 species
GACGAACGCUGGCGGCGUGCCUAACACAUGCAAGUCGAACGGAAAGGCCCUGCUUUUGUGGGGUGCUCGAGUGGCGAACGGGUGAGUAACACGUGAGUAACCUGCCCUUGACUUUGGGAUAACUUCAGGAAACUGGGGCUAAUACCGGAUAGGAGCUCCUGCUGCAUGGUGGGGGUUGGAAAGUUUCGGCGGUUGGGGAUGGACUCGCGGCUUAUCAGCUUGUUGGUGGGGUAGUGGCUUACCAAGGCUUUGACGGGUAGCCGGCCUGAGAGGGUGACCGGCCACAUUGGGACUGAGAUACGGCCCAGACUCCUACGGGAGGCAGCAGUGGGGAAUAUUGCACAAUGGGCGGAAGCCUGAUGCAGCAACGCCGCGUGCGGGAUGACGGCCUUCGGGUUGUAAACCGCUUUCGCCUGUGACGAAGCGUGAGUGACGGUAAUGGGUAAAGAAGCACCGGCUAACUACGUGCCAGCAGCCGCGGUGAUACGUAGGGUGCGAGCGUUGUCCGGAUUUAUUGGGCGUAAAGGGCUCGUAGGUGGUUGAUCGCGUCGGAAGUGUAAUCUUGGGGCUUAACCCUGAGCGUGCUUUCGAUACGGGUUGACUUGAGGAAGGUAGGGGAGAAUGGAAUUCCUGGUGGAGCGGUGGAAUGCGCAGAUAUCAGGAGGAACACCAGUGGCGAAGGCGGUUCUCUGGGCCUUUCCUGACGCUGAGGAGCGAAAGCGUGGGGAGCGAACAGGCUUAGAUACCCUGGUAGUCCACGCUGUAAACGGUGGGUACUAGGUGUGGGGUCCAUUCCACGGGUUCCGUGCCGUAGCUAACGCUUUAAGUACCCCGCCUGGGGAGUACGGCCGCAAGGCUAAAACUCAAAGGAAUUGACGGGGCCCCGCACAAGCGGCGGAGCAUGCGGAUUAAUUCGAUGCAACGCGUAGAACCUUACCUGGGUUUGACAUGGAUCGGGAGUGCUCAGAGAUGGGUGUGCCUCUUUUGGGGUCGGUUCACAGGUGGUGCAUGCCUGUCGUCAGCUCGUGUCGUGAGAUGUUGGGUUAAGUCCCGCAACGAGCGCAACCCUUGUUCACUGUUGCCAGCACGUUAUGGUGGGGACUCAGUGGAGACCGCCGGGGUCAACUCGGAGGAAGGUGGGGAUGACGUCAAGUCAUCAUGCCCCUUAUGUCCAGGGCUUCACGCAUGCUACAAUGGCUGGUACAGAGAGUGGCGAGCCUGUGAGGGUGAGCGAAUCUCGGAAAGCCGGUCUCAGUUCGGAUUGGGGUCUGCAACUCGACCUCAUGAAGUCGGAGUCGCUAGUAAUCGCAGAUCAGCAACGCUGCGGUGAAUACGUUCCCGGG